rnacentral:rRNA from 1 species
UACGGAGGGAGCUAGCGUUGUUCGGAAUUACUGGGCGUAAAGCGCACGUAGGCGGCGAUUCAAGUCAGAGGUGAAAGCCCGGGGCUCAACUCCGGAACUGCCUUUGAAACUAGAUUGCUAGAAUCUUGGAGAGGAGCGUGGAAUUCCCAGUGUAGAGGUGAAAUUCGUAGAUAUUGGGAAGAACACCGGUGGCGAAGGCGGCGCUCUGGACCGAGACUGACGCUGAGGCGCGAAAGCGUGGGGAGCAAACAGG